rnacentral:lncRNA from 1 species
ACCUGACAAGAAAAAAAAAACCUUCUCGGCGGUCCUCCUGCGCUACCGCGACUCUGUAAAAAGCUAGAGAGAACCCUUGCUUAAAAGGAGGAGGGAGAUGUGAAGGAACAGCGGUGGGCUACCCCAGCGAAAAACAGAGGCCGAACUACACCAAAGACACACAAGACCUCAUCUCCGUGAAGGAGGAAGAGAAAGAGAGAUCUACGGGCA